UCUCAAGAGGUGACGUUUUUGUCACGUGCUUCACAUUCGACCAAUCAGGUAGCCGCGCAGAUCCAAGAUGGCGAUGUCAACAACGUCUAGCGCUGAAGAGGAAAAUACUCUAAAACACCUUAAAAAAGUUUGAAAAAAGAACAUCAAAAUAUGCUACAUGCAUGUUACGUCUGUUAGGAAUGAAGAGGUGAAUGAUUUCACUAUCAGAAGGUGGGAUACUUACAGGAAUUGUUUAAAACGGUGGCUUUGCUGUGAUGGUGAGUCUCAUAAAGUAGUCAAGAUAUUCACAUCCUGUAUCGAUGUUGAAUUUAAAGAUAUUCCUGAUGACGCUGGGCUUCACCCGACUUGUUACCGGCGGUUCAUUGAUAAGAAGCGUUUGGAUUCUGCCCAAAAACUGGCCAAUCGGCUGCAUGUGGGUCAAGAUGAGUUUGUGGCAUCGGACAUUCCAAAGAAAAAACUAAGAUGGAAGACGGGCCUGCCUAUCGGUUCUGCUGGCCCUGUGCUCCCUGACAUUUGGAUCAUUUGCAAGAGAACGGACAAGAGAGUUACUGCGGGAGGUAAACGGCAGAGGGACCAUCUUUUACAGGCAGAAACGCUUCCAGCAGGCCAGUUGAUGAACGCUGCCAGGAUAAAGCAUUCUCUUGCAUAUUGAAGACAGAGACUGUGUGGCCAUGGAAGUGCGGUACCACAAGUCCUGUCAGCUUCAUGACAAAGUCUGAUGUAACACUUACUGGAACCGCAGAUGAAGAAGUAAGUGAACCAACCAGCUACAACAUAUUCUGCGAGAGGAUCAUCCGCCAAAGGAUAAUUGUUAAUCAGGAGGUGCUGAGAAUGAACCAGCUAUGAUGAAUGUUUUUAAAUACCGUGCAAAAACAUGAAGAUUGUGAUUCUUCAAACUACAGGCAGGAUAAAUUAAAGAUAAGUCUGACUCUGGACUUUCCCCAACUGAUGUUUCAAGCGCAACAUCUGCGAACUGGUUUUUGUUGCAACAUUGUCUGCAGAUAAGCUGAUAGACAGGCUACCUCAUCCGUCAGGUACAGACACAAUUGAGUCAACUGGAGUAAGCCAAGGUGAAAGUGACACUAAACACAUGGCAAGAACAACUGCUCGUCCGCAAACUACUGAGAACACGAGGACACUUUAUAGUGCAGCGCUGAUAUUGAAGCAGCUACUAUGUGACUCUCCCGGUAUGACGUGCCCCCUGCCACCCACAUCAGAUGAUUUAAAUGUGUCCCAUGCAAAAUCUGUUGUGCCACUUGAACUGUACAAUGUUAUUGCUUGGA